GAUGAACGCUGGCGGCGUGCUUAACACAUGCAAGUCGAACGGUGAAGGCGGAGCUUGCUCUGCUGGAUCAGUGGCGAACGGGUGAGUAACACGUGAGCAAUCUGCCCCUGACUCUGGGAUAAGCGCUGGAAACGGCGUCUAAUACUGGAUACGAGCUGCGAAGGCAUCUUCAGCAGCUGGAAAGAAUUUCGGUCAGGGAUGAGCUCGCGGCCUAUCAGCUUGUUGGUGAGGUAAUGGCUCACCAAGGCGUCGACGGGUAGCCGGCCUGAGAGGGUGACCGGCCACACUGGGACUGAGGCACGGCCCAGACUCCUACGGGAGGCAGCAGUGGGGAAUAUUGCACAAUGGGCGAAAGCCUGAUGCAGCAACGCCGCGUGAGGGACGACGGCCCUCGGGUUGUAAACCUCUUUUAGCAGGGAAGAAGCGAAAGUGACGGUACCUGCAGAAAAAGCGCCGGCUAACUACGUG
rnacentral:rRNA from 1 species